UAGGAUUCCCUCAGUAAUGGCGAAUGAACAGGGAUCAGCUCAGCAUGGAAAUUGGGGCCUCUGGCCUUGAAUUGUAGUCUUGAGAUGGCUUCGCCAGCGGAGGCGCAGAUGUAAGCCUCUUGGAAAAGAGCAUCAAUGAGGGUGAGAGUCCCGUUUGUCAUCUGCAGUCCCCCGUGCACGGCUUGCUUUCUAAGAGUCACGUUCCUUGGGAUUGGAGCGCAAAUUGGGUGGUAAAUUUCAUCUAAAGCUAAAUAUUGGUUCGAGACCGAUAGCAAACAAGUACCAUGAGGGAAAGGUGAAAAGGACUUUGAAAAGAGAGUUAAAAGUGCCUGAAAUUGCUGAAAGGGAAGCGAAUGGAACCAGUUUUUCUUGGCGAGAUUGUUGCGUGCUAAUGUGAUGGCUUGUUGCUUCAACGCAAGUGUUGCAGCGGGUUUUGAUCUGGACGUGCGCGGUGCUUCUUGCCUUGUGUGUCAACGUCGGUUCAGACUUGAGGAAAACUCCAGGGACAUGGUAAGUCACUUCUGGGUGACUGAAAGUGCUUGGCAGAACUCAUUUCUGAACUGAACUCCGCAUGUCUGGUCGCAGUGCUCUCAUUUCCCAUGUCUCGUUCGGAGCUUUGCGCUCUGACCUGGGCUGGGGCGUGGGGCAUCUCCCUGACAUCAGUACGAUGACAAAAUGGUUUUAUUCGACCCGUCUUGAAACACGGACCAAGGAGUCUAACAUAUGUGCAAGUUCACGGGUGUUAAACCUGCUUGCGCAAUGAAAGUGACUGCUGGGAUAUUUGCACCAGCAACCGACCAAUCAAUUGUGAGAGGUUUGAGUAUGAGCAUAUCUGUUAGGACCCGAAAGAUGGUGAACUAUGCCUGAGAAGGGCGAAGUCAGGGGAAACUCUGAUGGAGGC
rnacentral:rRNA from 1 species